CGGCCCAGACUCCUACGGGAGGCAGCAGUGGGGAAUUUUGCACAAUGGACGCAAGUCUGAUGCAGCGACGCCGCGUGAGGGAUGGAGGCCUUCGGGUUGUGAACCUCUUUCGCUCAUGGCCAAGCCUCAGCAGUGGGUUGGGGUGAGGGUAGUGGGUAAAGAAGCGCCGGCUAACUACGUGCCAGCAGCCGCGGUAAUACGUAGGGCGCGAGCGUUGUCCGGAAUUAUUGGGCGUAAAGGGCUUGUAGGCGGCUUGUCGCGUCUGCCGUGAAAUCCUCUGGCUUAACUGGGGGCGUGCGGUGGGUACGGGCUGGCUUGAGUGCGGUAGGGGAGACUGGAAUUCCUGGUGUAGCGGUGGAAUGCGCAGAUAUCAGGAGGAACACCGGUGGCGAAGGCGGGUCUCUGGGCCGUUACUGACGCUGAGGAGCGAAAGCGUGGGGAGCGAACAGGAUUAGAUACCCUGGUAGUCCAUGCUGUAAACGUUGGGCACUAGGUGUGGGGGCCACCCGUGGUUUCUGCGCCGUAGCUAACGCUUUAAGUGCCCCGCCUGGGGAGUACGGCCGCAAGGCUAAAACUCAAAGGAAUUGACGGGGGCCCGCACAAGCGGCGGAGCAUGCGGAUUAAUUCGAUGCAACGCGAAGAACCUUACCAAGGCUUGACAUGCACCCAGAGCUUGCAGAGAUGUGAGUGCUUUUGGUUGGGGGUGUGCAGGUGGUGCAUGGUUGUCGUCAGCUCGUGUCGUGAGAUGUUGGGUUAAGUCCCGCAACGAGCGCAACCCUUGCCCUAUGUUGCCAGCGCGUUAUGGUGGGGACUCGUGGGGGACUGCCGGGGUUAACUCGGAGGAAGGUGGGGAUGACGUCAAAUCAUCAUGCCCCUUAUGUCUUGGGCUUCACGCAUGCUACAAUGGCUGGUACAGAGGGUUGCGAUACUGUGAGGUGGAGCGAAUCCCUUAAAGCUGGUCUCAGUUCGGAUUGGGGUCUGCAACUCGACCCCAUGAAGGUGGAGUCGCUAGUAAUCGCAGAUCAGCAACGCUGCGGUGAAUACGUUCUCGGGCCUUGUACACACCGCCCGUCACGUCACGAAAGUUGGUAACACCCGAAGCUCAUGGCCUAACCG
rnacentral:rRNA from 1 species